rnacentral:rRNA from 1 species
AGUGAACGCUGGCGGUAGGCCUAACACAUGCAAGUCGAACGGCAGCACAGUAAGAGCUUGCUCUUACGGGUGGCGAGUGGCGGACGGGUGAGGAAUACAUCGGAAUCUACUUUUUCGUGGGGGAUAACGUAGGGAAACUUACGCUAAUACCGCAUACGACCUACGGGUGAAAGCAGGGGAUCUUCGGACCUUGCGCGAUUGAAUGAGCCGAUGUCGGAUUAGCUAGUUGGCGGGGUAAAGGCCCACCAAGGCGACGAUCCGUAGCUGGUCUGAGAGGAUGAUCAGCCACACUGGAACUGAGCCACGGUCCAGACUCUUACGGGAGGCAGCAGUGCGGAAUAUUGGACAAUGGGCGCAAGCCUGAUCCAGCCAUACCGCGUGGGUGAAGAAGGCCUUCGGGUUGUAAAGCCCUUUUGUUGGGAAAGAAAAGCAGCAGGUUAAUACCCCGCUGUUCUGACGGUACCCAAAGAAUAAGCACCGGCUAACUUCGUG